rnacentral:rRNA from 1 species
GUCAAUAGCCUAACGGCUGAACCAGCAACUUGGAGGAAUGUAUAGCAAUAGCUAGUUGCAUCAUAGUUAACUAUGAUGCAAGAUUGACUAUUUUGAAUAAAAUUCUAGGUAUGAUUAUGAUAAUGACAUUGUCUGCCUAUAUGUCUUGACCAAAUUACGUGCCAGCAGUCGCGGUAACACGUAGAAGACCAGUGUUAUUCAUGUUUAAUCGGUUUAAAGGGUACCUAGACGGCAGAUCAAGCUUACCGAGCAUAAAAAAAAAUAAAAAGGACUAAUUUGCUAGAGUUACUUACGAUGGGGUUUUAAAGUACUGUUGGUGUAGAGAUGAAAUGCUAUCAUACCUAAAUUUGAAAUAAUUAUUAUGGCACGGGUAUAGGCGAAGGCAUCCCCUUAUGUGAUAACUGACGUUGAGGGACGAAGGCUUUCAACAGCGAACGGGAUUAGAUACCCCAUUAGUGGGAGCAGUAAAUGAUGAAUGUCAUAGAUUAGCUAGAUAGGUUCAUUCUAUAAAUGAAAGUGUAAGCAUUCCACCUCAUGAGUAAUAUGGCAACAUUGGAAUUGAAAUCAUUAGACCGUUUCUGAAACCAGUAGUGAAGUAUGUUGUUUAAUUAGAGAGUACGCAAAAAACCUUACCACAAUUUGAAUAUAUAUUUUUUUUUAUUGUAUCGCUAUUAAUUUUUUUCUCUAUAACAAAGAUGAUUUUAGUAAUAAAAGAGGAAAUAUAUUAAUAAAGAGGCAAUAAGAUAUAUUUACAAGCGCUGCACGGCUGUCUUCAGUUAAUGUCGCGAGAUUUUGGUUAGAUCCAUUAAAUUAACGUAAACCCUUACUUUAUUUUUAGAUAGAGUUGUUCCCCACUAUAUUGGAUACGAUAACA